AUUGGAUGAUCAGUCCAAUAGACCACUUGGUUACCAAAGCAGUUCAGGAUCUUCUUAUUGGGAUCAACACGGGUCAUUAAAAUAGGAAGGCAUGACUGAAUAUGGGGUCCAUAAGUAUUUUAGAGAGAAAAAAUAAGUGAAGAGAGAGAGAAUAGGAAAGAGAGAAAGAAAGAGUCUUCAUCUCUUCUAGAAGAGGAAUCUAAGAUCAGGAUCAUUAAGGGUCAUGUUAGGAUGCAUGCACUAUCGGCAGCUGGCCGUGGCUGGACAUAAAGAGAAGAAAAAACUCCAAAAUAAGAGAUUCAUAGGUUAUCUUAGAGAAAGAAAGUAGAGAGAGAUACAAAAG
rnacentral:lncRNA from 1 species